rnacentral:rRNA from 2 species
GACGUAGGGGGCUAGCGUUGUCCGGAUUUACUGGGCGUAAAGCGCGCGUAGGCGGUCCGUUAAGUGUAGAGUGAAAGCUCCGGGCUCAACCCGGAAACCGCUCUGCAUACUGGCGGGCUGGAGGGACGCAGAGGUCUGUGGAAUUCCUGGUGUAACGGUGAAAUGUGUUGAUAUCAGGAGGAACACCCAUGGCGAAGGCAGCAGACUGGGCGUUUCCUGACGCUGAGGCGCGAAAGCGUGGGUAGCAAACAGG